rnacentral:rRNA from 1 species
GGAGGAAAGCAGGGGAUCGCAAGACCUCGCGCUCAUUGAGCGGCCGAUGCCUGAUUAGCUAGUUGGUGAGGUAAAGGCUUACCAAGGCGACGAUCAGUAGCUGGUCUGAGAGGACGACCAGCCACACUGGGACUGAGACACGGCCCAGACUCCUACGGGAGGCAGCAGUGGGAAUUUUGGACAAUGGGGGAAACCCUGAUCCAGCCAUGCCGCGUGAGUGAAGAAGGCCUUCGGGUUGUAAAGCUCUUUCAGCCGGAACGAAACGGUCACGGCUAAUACCUGUGACUACUGACGGUACCGGAAGAAGAAGCACCGGCUAACUACGUGCCAGCAGCCGCGGUAAUACGUAGGGUGCGAGCGUUAAUCGGAAUUACUGGGCGUAAAGCGUGCGCAGGCGGUUUUGUAAGUCAGAAGGGAAAUCCCCGGGCUUAACCUGGGAACUGCGUUUUUAAAAGGAGGCUAGAAGGGC